rnacentral:lncRNA from 1 species
CUGUGUCUCUCUCCUACAGGCGCCAUCAACCUGGUCGCCAUGAGCUCGUACGAGCCCAUGUUUAGGGGUGGGGGGAGCAGGAUGACCCCCGCGUCGGCGUUGGUAAGGGUAGUGCCCUUGACACCACCCACCGUCGGCUGUCUUAUCCGCCGCCGCUCGGGUCGCCCCUGGCGUCUUGGGAGGUUUAGAGAGGCGCAGCGGUUCCCUUCUCAAAAACAUCUCACCCUAACGAUAUCGAGGCGACAUUAAUCGCGGGGAUGCCUGGCCAGAAGGAGGGCGCCGCAGGCAAACGUUCCUUGUCUGCGCCGGAGAGACCAACGAGCAGGGAACUACCACUGCGCGUCUCCUCCGGAAAGUGUACCCCACCGACGACCGCAGCUUGAGCGCCCCCCCCCCCCCCCCCGGGUCCUGCCCUCGACCACCGGGCGGGAAGGGAGUGGGAGGAACUACUGCUUCUGCUGGGCGGCAGUAAAUGGCAUCGGCUUCGUCUCCCUUCCUGCCCUGCGCACGUAGCGGAUCAACAGCAACGAGAGACAGACACGAACGGCAGGGUCGUCAUUAGUCAGUCCUUGGGGAAUCAUGCACCGAACCGAUCAUAUUUCCUUCUCCGUUCCCCAUCGUUGCCUGCCUCCGUGUUCUCUUCUGCAUGCAAGCAUGCUCGCAUGCAUGCAUCAGAUGGGUGGGGAGGGGAGGAAAGGGGCACUUCCCUCUCCUGCACUGCGCGCAGCCGGGCUGAUCUCGUCGCGAAGAGCGAUCCCCAGAUGGGACGAGGGCGUACGGUGUCUCCUGAUUCAAGAUUUGUCCGCUCUCCUCCGCCAGUAAUGACGAGUUAAUGAUCCGCCAGGGGGCGGCACUCUCUGCCCGCCCCCGGUCGCCGUCGCGCGCGGUCCACGCGCCGUGUUGAUGGCAAUCACUGUCGACGUGACGAGACCCUGGAAGGAAGGAACGAAGGAACUAAGAAAGGAGGCAACGAAGGAAGGAAGAAAAGGCUGGUGGGGCCCCCGCUGGCUGACUUCCAGUGACCGCAGGGUCCCACGGGGACGAAUGAGACCGCUCUUUUUGGAAGUGGGGCCCACUCAGCCGCACCCCCCCAACACGGCACUGGGGGAGUUUCCCCAGGGGGCCCGCGCAUUAAAUCGCCGACCCAGACGCUCGCGCCGCUCCGGAGCAGACGUUCAUUGAACGGGCGCGGGGGGAAUCCGGAGGGGGCUGGCACGCGAUCCACUAUUCAGUCGCGCGGGUGGCCCGGGUAGUCGCACGCGCCGCGCUCGGUCAACCGAG